AACUGGAGGAGGGUGGGGAUGACGUCAAGUCAUCAUGGCCCUUACGAGUAGGGCUACACACGUGCUACAAUGGCAUAUACAAAGAGAAGCGACCUCGCGAGAGCAAGCGGACCUCACAAAGUAUGUCGUAGUCCGGAUCGGAGUCUGCAACUCGACUCCGUGAAGUCGGAAUCGCUAGUAAUCGUAGAUCAGAAUGCUACGGUGAAUACGUUCCCGGGCCUUGUACACACCGCCCGUCACACCAUGGGAGUGGGUUGCAAAAGAAGUAGGUAGCUUAACCUUCGGGAGGGCGCUUACCACUUUGUGAUUCAUGACUGGGGUGAAGUCGUAACAAGGUAACCGUAGGGGAACCUGCGGUUGGAUCACCUCCU
rnacentral:rRNA from 1 species